AGCUUUGCACAGUGGCAGUAUUGUAGCCAGUGAGGUUUAUCCGAAGUGCAAUUAUUGCUAAUUAAAGCAUGGAAUUCUUGUAACAUUUCCUUCCCUUUGGAAGGUAUGUAGCUGUAGGUGGCACAUUAUUCUAUUGUUCUUAAGAAU
ensembl:snRNA U4 U4 spliceosomal RNA